CCCGCAAUAUUGGACAAUGGGCGCAAGCCUGAUCCAGCAAUACCGCGUGUGUGAAGAAGGCCUGAGGGUUGUAAAGCACUUUCAAUUGUGAAGAAAAGUUAAUGGAUAUAUAACCAUUAGCCUUGGCGUUUACUUUAGAAGAAGCACCGGCUAACUCCGUGCCAGCAGCCGCGGUAAUACGGAGGGUGCAAGCGUUAAUCCGAAUUACUGGGCGUAAAGCGUGCGUAGGUGGUUUGUUAAGUCAGAUGUGAAAGCCCCGGGCUUAACCUGGGAACUGCAUUUGAAACUGACAAACUAGAGUAUUGGAGAGGAAAGUGGAAUUUCUGGUGUAGCGGUGAAAUGCGUAGAUAUCAGAAGGAACAUCAAUGGCGAAGGCAGCUUUCUGGACUAAUACUGACACUGAAGUACGAAAGCGUGGGUAGCAAACAGGAAUAGAUACCCUGGUAGUCCACGCCGUAAACGAUGAUAACUAGCCGGUGGGAAGGUUUACCUCUUAGUGGCGAAGCUAACGCGUUAAGUUAUCCGCCUGGGGAGUACGGCCGCAAGGUUA
rnacentral:rRNA from 1 species